rnacentral:rRNA from 1 species
AUACAGAGGGUGCAAGCGUUAAUCGGAGUUACUGGGCGUAAAGGGCGCGUAGGCGGUUAUAUGUGUGUGGUGUGAAAGCCCCGGGCUUAACCUGGGAAGUGCAUCGCAAACUGUAUAGCUAGAGUAUAUGAGAGGGUGGCGGAAUUUCCGGUGUAGCGGUGAAAUGCGUAGAGAUCGGAAGGAACGUCAAUGGCGAAGGCAGCCACCUGGCAUAAUACUGACGCUGAGGCGCGAAAGCGUGGGGAGC